rnacentral:misc_RNA from 1 species
AGUUGGGCUCCGGAAUAGUCUUCUUUUGAAGAAGUUUUUCAAGAUUGGCGAGGUGUUUCUUAGUUGACUCAGUUGAAGUAACCGGCUUCAAAGAUUGAGUUGUAGUCGACGCCGAACUGGGUUUCGUUAAAGGAUUUAACGGAGAUUGUUGGCAUCUGAAGCUGCCGCGUCUGGCCUGAACUAGGUGGAGGUGCUCAGCCGGAAGACUUGGGCUGAUCUGCAUAGAUUUAUCGAGCAAGCGAAAGACAGAGAAGGUAAAAGGGAUAUAUGAAGUCGAAAGGAAGGAGAAUAGAACAGCUGGCA